AAUAGAUACCCGGGUAGUCCACGCCGUAAACGAUGCACACUAGAUGACGGGGCCUCUCACGGCGCCGCCGUCGAAGCAAAAGUGAUUAGUGUGCCCCCUGGGGAGUACGGCCGCAAGGCUAAAACUCAAAGGAAUUGACGGGGACCCGCACAAGCGGUGGAGCAUGUGGUUUAAUUCGAUGCAACGCGAAGAACCUUACCUGGUCUUGACAUCCAUGGAACCCUGCAGAGAUGCGGGGGUGCCGUAAGGAACCAUGAGACAGGUGCUGCAUGGCUGUCGUCAGCUCGUGUCGUGAGAUGUUGGGUUAAGUCCCGCAACGAGCGCAACCCUUGUCCUUAGUUGCCAUCAUUUAGUUGGGAACUCUAAGGAGGCCGCCGGUGACAAACCGGAGGAAGGUGGGGAUGACGUCAAGUCAUCAUGGCCUUUAUGACCAGGGCUACACACGUGCUACAAUGGUAGAUACAGAGGGAAGCCAACGCGCGAGCGGGAGCUAAUCCCAGAAAAUCUAUCGUAGUCCGGA
rnacentral:rRNA from 1 species